rnacentral:rRNA from 1 species
GUAGGUGACCUGCGGAGGAUCAUUAUCGAGUUUUGACUGGGUUGUAGCUGGCCUUCCGAGGCAUGUGCACGCCCUGCUCAUCCACUCUACACCUGUGCACUUACUGUGGGCUUCAGAUCGUAAAACGGGUCCCUUUACCGGGCUUGCGGAGCGUGUCUGUGCCUGCGUUUAUCACAAACUCUAUAAAGUAUCAGAAUGUGUAUUGCGAUGUAACGCAUCUAUAUACAACUUUCAGCAACGGAUCUCUUGGCUCUCGCAUCGAUGAAGAACGCAGCGAAAUGCGAUAAGUAAUGUGAAUUGCAGAAUUCAGUGAAUCAUCGAAUCUUUGAACGCACCUUGCGCUCCUUGGUAUUCCGAGGAGCAUGCCUGUUUGAGUGUCAUGAAAUCUUCAACCUGCAAGCUUUUGUGGUUUGUAGGCUUGGACUUGGAGGCUUGUCGGCCGUUCUUGGUCGGCUCCUCUUAAAUGCAUUAGCUUGGUUCCUUGCGGAUCGGCUCUCGGUGUGAUAAUGUCUACGCUGCGACCGUGAAGCGUUUGGCGAGCUUCUAACCGUCUCAGUUGGAGACAACUUUAUGACCUCUGACCUCAAAUCAGGUAGGACUACCCGCUGAACUUAAGCAUAUC